CGGGCCUCUCACUGUUGUGGCCUCUCCCGUUGCAGAGCACAGGCUCCGGACGCGCAGGCUCAGUGGCCAUGGCUCACGGGCCCAGCCACUUCGCGGCAUGUGGGAUCUUCCCGGACCGGGGCACGAACCCUUGUCCCCCGCAUCGGCAGGCGGACUCCCAACCACUGUGCCACCAGGGAAGCCCCUGGUCAUCUAGAAGACCACCCUCCUGCCAAUUUUAGAUGGAAUUUUGAUCGAAUUUUUUGGGAAUACUUCUGUAACUUUUGAGAAAAGAAACUUUCUUCAGUGUCCAGCUGCAGCCUCCUGUGAGCACCUGACCCUUGUUUGAGAAUGCUGGAGUCUGUUGCUAUGGAAACGUACUCAAGUCAGACUGCAACAGGAGGACCUCUGCUGCCUUCUUCAGAUGGGGACCUGACAGACUGGCCCAGAUUCCCGUAGCUGACAGCCAGCCGUAUGUUGAGUCUUCUCUGUGGAAACACCAGUCUCUCAGAAAGAAGGGCAUGAAGCUCCAGGUCAGAAAAUGGAACCAUCUGAGGCAAAAUAACUUGCCUGAGGUGAUGCAGCCAUGGUGACAGAGCUGGAUUUGAACACAGAAGUCUGAUAAACCUCCUACCAUGUGUCUCUCCCAGAGAAGGUAGCCAAAUCAUGAUGCUUCUCUGGACUUCCUCCACCACCUGCUGGGGUACAGGUCCCAGAGUGCUUCCUUAGAGUUGAACCAAGAGUGCUGACAGUGGCUUUAAUGGUUGUUAGUGGGACUGAAUGAAAGGAUGUCUAUUGGAUGUUUGCACAGAGUUGCUGCUCAGUGAAAAAGAAAAAGAGAAAAAAGUUCUUGAGCUACAGUGAGACACCCAAAGAAAUGUUAAACAAAAUUCAUGAUUUGUUUAAAUUCUGUAGCAAAACUGGAAGUUUCCAAAACUAGAAUUUCUUUGCCUCAUUAAACUGUGGCUUCCUUCUUUUUAUUCUCCUCAGUAUGAAUUACCUUAUGAGUUUUCUGAUCCCUAAAGUAAAAAAAAAAGUUUAUUGUAAAAAAAAAAAGAAGA